AUGGUUCAAAUGUCCAUGCUUGGUUUCUUUUUCCCCAUUGCUAUGUUUCCUCCUUCCGCUCCAACGACAGUUUUACUUGCCAUUUCUAUUCCCCUGUCAGCAGCAUUCGUCGUCGUCUCUGGCUCGGGCGCUUCUGAAACUCUGUUUAACUGUACUUCCCAGGAGCUUGUUCAGCAAUGUCAAUACAUUAUGGAAUCAAUGGGGAACAGGAAGAAGACAAGCAGGAAACUAGAUUUGAGACCACAACUCUUCUGUCCUCUGAAGCGCUUUCACUUGGAGAAGUUGCAUGAUGCAGUGGAAUUUUUCUUCUUUAUGUCUGUCUUGGCUAAAGCAAGACAGACGAGCUUGAAAAGGCUCGCCCUCCUCAAGGAACGCUAUCUGAUUCGUAAGCAUUCCUAGAGGUUAAGGCUGGUGACUAUCAAGAAAGCAAAUACUUCACGCAAGGCAUGAAAGGAAGCAUGCCAGUGGUACAAGGAAAAGAGGUGGAUGUUGGUGAUCUACCCUCUUACAUGGAAG
rnacentral:lncRNA from 1 species